AUGAAACUGAAUAUGUCCUUCCCAGCCACUGGCUUCCAGAAACUCAUUGAAAUGGAUGAUGAAUGCAAAUUUCAUACUUUUUAUGAGAAGUGUGUGGUAACAGAAGUUGCUGCUAACACUCUGAGUGAAGAAUAGAGUGGUUAUGUGGUCUGAGUCAGUGGUGGGAAGGACAAACAAGGUUUCCCCAUGCAGUAGUGUGUCUUGACCCAUGGCUGUGUCUGCCUGCUACUGAGAAAGGGGCAUUCCUGUUAUAGACCAAGGAGAACUGGAGAAAAAAAGCACAAAUCUGUUCGAGGUUGCAUUGUGGAUGUCAGUCUGAAUGUUCUCAACUUGGUUAUUGUAAAAUUUUAAAAAGGAGAGAAUAAUGUUCCUGUACUGACUGAUACUAUGGUACCUCAUUACCUGGGGGCCCAAAGGAGCUAGCAGAAUCCAGAGUCUUUUUAAUCUGCCUAAACAAGAUGACAUCCUCCAAUAUGUUGUAAGAAACCUUUUAGACAAAAAAGGUAAGAAACCCAGGACCAAAGCACCCAAGAGUCAGCAUCUUGUUAUUCCACGUGUCCUGCAACACAAACACCAGUGUAUUGCUCUGAAGAAACAAAGUAUUAAGAAAAAUAAAAAAGCGGCCACAGAAUAGGCUAAACUUUUGGCCAAGACAAUGAAGGAAGCCAAAGAAAAAUGCCAGGAACAGAUUGCCCAGAGAUGCAGACUGUCCUUUCUGCAAGCUUCUACCCUAAGUCCAAGUGCAGUCAAA
rnacentral:lncRNA from 1 species